rnacentral:rRNA from 1 species
AUGAACGCUAGCGGCAGGCCUAAUACAUGCAAGUCGGACGGGAUUGGAGACUUCGGUUUCCACGAGAGUGGCGCACGGGUGCGUAACACGUAUGUAACCUACCUUUGUCAGGGGGAUAGCCUCUCGAAAGAGAGAUUAAGCCCGCAUAACAUCAUUUUAUGGCAUCAUAGGAUGAUCAAAUAUUUAUAGGACAAAGAUGGGCAUGCGGAACAUUAGCUAGUUGGUAAGGGUAACGGCUUACCAAGGCUACGAUGUUUAGGGGAUCUGAGAGGAUGACCCCCCACACUGGUACUGAGACACGGACCAGACUCCUACGGGAGGGCAGCAGUAAGGAAUAUUGGUCAAUGGACGGAAGUCUGAACCAGCCAUGCCGCGUGCAGGAAGACGGCCCUACGGGUUGUAAACUGCUUUUGCAGGGGAAUAAACCCCCGAUCGUGAUCGGGGCUGAAUGUACCUUGAGAAUAAGGAUCGGCUAACUCCGUGCCAGCAGCCGCGGUAAUACGGAGGAUCCGAGCGUUAUCCGGAUUUAUUGGGUUUAAAGGGUGCGUAGGCGGCCUAUUAAGUCAGGGGUGAAAGACGGUAGCUUAACUAUCGCAGUGCCUUUGAUACUGAUGGGCUUGAAUGUACUUGAGGUAGGCGGAAUGUGACAAGUAGCGGUGAAAUGCAUAGAUAUGUCACAGAACACCAAUUGCGAAGGCAGCUUACUAAAGUAUGAUUGACGCUGAGGCACGAAAGCGUGGGGAUCAAACAGGAUUAGAUACCCUGGUAGUCCACGCCCUAAACGAUGAACACUCGAUCGUCUGGCGAUACUACGGUCAGCGGUCUAAUGCGAAAAGCGUUAAGUGUACCACCUGGGGAGUACGAUCCGCAAGGGAUUGAAACUCAAAGGAAUUGACGGGGGUCCGCACAAGCGGAUGGAGCAUGUGGUUUCAAUUCGAUGGAUACGCGAGGAACCUUACCCUGGGCUAGAAUGCAAGUGGAAUACGGCUGAAAGGUCGUAGCCCCGCAAGGGGCCGCUUGUAAGGUGCUGCAUGGCUGUCGUCAGCUCGUGUCGUGAGAUGUUGGGUUAAGUCCCGCAACGAGCGCAACCCCCAUCAUUAGUUGCCAUCGGGUAAAGCCGGGGACUCUAGUGAAACUGCCUGCGUAAGCAGCGAGGAAGGAGGGGACGACGUCAAGUCAUCACGGCCUUUAUGUCCAGGGCUACACACGUGCUACAAUGGUAGGUACAGAGGGCUGCAACACGGCGACGUGAAGCCAAUCCCAAAAAACCUACCUCAGUUCAGAUUGGAGUCUGCAACCCGACUCCAUGAAGCUGGAAUCGCUAGUAAUCGGGUAUCAGCAAUGAUCCGGUGAAUACGUUCCCGGACCUUGUACACACCGCCCGUCAAGCCAUGGAAGCCCGGUGUACCUGAAGACGAUCACCGUAAGGAGUCGUUCAAGGUAAAACGGGUAACUGGGGCU